CGAAGGGGCUAGCGUUGUUCGGAAUCACUGGGCGUAAAGCGCACGUAGGCGGAUGUGCCAGUCAGGGGGUGAAAUCCCGGAGCUCAACUUCGGAACUGCCUCUGAUACAGCACGUCUUGAGUCCGGAAGAGGUGGGUGGAAUUCCUAGUGUAGAGGUGAAAUUCGUAGAUAUUAGGAAGAACACCGGUGGCGAAGGCGGCCCACUGGUCCGGUACUGACGCUGAGGUGCGAAAGCGUGGGGAGCAAACAGGAUU
rnacentral:rRNA from 1 species